GGUCAUCUGGCCGAGCGGUCUAAGGCGCUAGUUUUAGGCACUAGUCUGAAAGGGCGCGGGUUCGAACCCCGCGGUGACCA
rfam:Tritrichomonas foetus strain K scaffold_358, whole genome shotgun sequence.